rnacentral:rRNA from 1 species
CCUACGGGAGGCAGCAGUGAGGAAUAUUGGUCAAUGGGCGAGAGCCUGAACCAGCCAAGUCGCGUGAAGGAUGACGGCCCUACGGGUUGUAAACUUCUUUUGUCAGGGAGCAAUUGUGUCCACGCGUGGGCUUAGCGAGAGUACCUGAAGAAAAAGCAUCGGCUAACUCCGUUCCAGCAGCCGCGGUAAUACGGAGGAUGCGAGCGUUAUCCGGAUUUAUGGGGUUUAAGGGGUGCGUAGGCGGAAUAUCAAGUCAGCGGUAAAAAUUCGGGGCUAAACCCCGUCGUGCCGUUAAAACUGAUGUUCUUGAGUGGGCGAGAAGUAUGCGGAAUGCGUGGUGUAGCGGUGAAAUGCAUAGAUAUCACGCAGAACUCCGAUUGCGAAGGCAGCAUACCGGCGCACAACUGACGCUGAAGCACGAAAGCGUGGGUAUCGAACAGGAUUAGAUACCCGAGUAGUC